GAAAUGCGAUAAGUAAUGUGAAUUGCAGAAUUCCGUGAAUCAUCGAAUCUUUGAACGCACAUUGCGCCCUCUGGCAUUCCGGGGGGCAUGCCUGUCCGAGCGUCAUUACGCACCCUCAAGCCCGGCUUGUGUGAUGGGCCCCGGCGUCUCGUCCGCGAGACGGGCCCGAAAGGCAGCGGCGGCGUCGACCCGAUGAGCCCGAGCGUAUGGGGACUUCUGUCACACGUUCGCGGUGCGGACCGGCGCCUGCUUGACUUUUCUGAUUAUCCAGGUUGACCUCGGAUCAGGUAGGGAUACCCGCUGAACUUAAGC
rnacentral:misc_RNA from 1 species